rnacentral:rRNA from 1 species
AGCGAACGCUGGCGGCAGGCCUAACACAUGCAAGUCGAGCGGGCAUACUUGUGGUGUCAGCGGCAGACGGGUGAGUAACGCGUGGGAACGAGCCCUUCGUUUCGGAAUAAUUCAGGGAAACUUGAGUCAAAACCGGAUAUGUGCUAGAGCAGAACGGGUUCUAUGACGAAGUACCGGCCCGCGUCGGAUUAUUUGGUUGGUGAGGAUAUGGCUCCCCACGGCGUCGGUCAGUAGAUGGUGUGAGAGAAUGGCCAGACACCCUUGGAUUGCGACACGGUCGAGACUCCUACGGGAGGGAGCAGUGGGUGAUAUAGGACAAUGGGGGCAGCCCUGAUCCAGCCAGGCCGGGAGAGCGAUGUCGGCCGGAGGGUUGAAAAGCUCUUUUCUCCGUGACGGUAAUGACGGUACCGGAGGAAUAAGCCCCGGCUAACUUCGUG